GUUCGAUCCCUGGCCUUGCUCAGUGGGUUAAGGAUCCAAUGUUGCUGUGAGCUGUGGUGUAGGUUGCGGGUAGGAUCCCAUGUUGCUGUGUCUGUGGCGUAGGCCGGCAGCUGCAGCUCUGAUUCAAUCCCUAGCCCCCAUAUGCUGUGGGUGCGGCCUAGAAGACAAAAAAUAAAUAAAUAAAUAAAUAAAUAAAACAACCAAAAAAAUCUUUUUUUAAGCUGGCAUAUCACAUACAGUUCAAUUGAGGCGUAGAUUUACUGGGAGAGAAAAUUGCUUUGAAAAGGGAGAUUUUGUUUCUUGCAUUGAUUUUUAUCUGUGAUGCUAGUUUUAUGUUUUGGAAAAUUGGGAGCAAUAUUGGAUUAUCUGUGGUUGGUGACCCUAAAACCAGCAACACGCUGAGACCAUGGAUCUUGCGGAAGGAAAGGCUUCUGGAGAGGUCUGUCCCAGGGUGCUGCUGCCUAUAGCCCCCAGUACCCUGCAGUGGGGGUGCUGCUUGAUUGAUUGGAAAUUUUAAAAAUCUGUGCUAAGGCAGAUGGGAGAAAUAGAGGAAGUUAGAUGAUUGUCAACCCGACUAAUGAUGUCUUGCAGGAAAGCUUCCCUCUGGGAGGGCCUUUUUGCUUUGUCAUCUGUGCUGUGCAGAGAUGUUUAUUGAGCACAUGACCCGGCUCUGAGCUCAGAGAGCAUCACCCCAUAUAGCAGGUUCCAGAAUUUGGUCACAAGACACAUGCAUGGCCAAUUGCAUCCCCUUGUGCUAAGCUUGGAAAGUCUAAUCCCCUGGGGUGCUUUCCAACGGUAGAAAUGUUGAACUGUGCUGUAUCCUAUAUCAGUUUUCCUUCUAGAACUGUAGAACCAGAGAACUAAAUGCUCUGUGUUGCUGACUUUUUUCUCUAAGUGGUUCUCAAACUGAAGCCUGCCUCAGAACCCCUGGAGGGCUUGGGCAAGCACAGAUGGCUGGGUUCCACCCCGGGUACUUCUGAUUAGGUGGGUCUGGGGCGGGGCCUGCAAGUUCCCAGGUGAUGCUCCUGCUACCGAUCAGGGGGCUACACUUGGAGAACUGCCAAGGAACUGGCAAAUUCAGUGGGUCUGAGGUUCAUGUCUUCUACCGUCCCACGGAAGCUCUACUCCCCCAUAUCUUCAGGCUUUCACAGCUUGAUCCUUCUCUCUGGGAUGUUCCCUGUUCUCUGGAACCUUCUGUCAGGACUCCAACUUCGGUUUGAUUAAUUGGAACCAGGGUGCUGCGUCAGCAUCACUAACAUUUGCCUGCUUUCUGCUGAGCCCUUGGCUCUGGCUCAGGUUCCUUUCAUCAGGUGUCUGAUCAUCACCACAACCCCCUGUGCUAACGUGGGUGGUCUCCCUUCCAACACAAAGUCCAAUGUGUUGAGGGGUCUCAAAUUCACAGCCUUGGGUGCUUGGCCACUGUUUUCCCCUUUGGCUCAGAAGCCCUUUGUAGGAGUGUUUGCGCCCAGUGUGAGGAUGCUUGGAGGGUGGGAUGCAAGAGAAAAUAAAUGGAUGCCUGUGUGGUGAGAUACCUGACACUGGUCAGCUGGCUAAGAGAUGGAAAAGAAUCUGGUUAGAAGAAUGUUCAUGGCACUACCCUUGUCAAGUGUUAGGAUGGCCCUUUCCAACGGUUAUAUUUUGCUCUCCUCUCUUUGCCUUGAAAGUUGCAGAGGCUGGAGGAGAGGUAACUCCCUCUGUUUCUGAGAGGGGAUGAUUACAGUUCUCCCCUGUUCCUCCCCCAACUCCCCAGAGCCUUUCCUGGGGGACAGAGAAUUGGGCGUCCUUUGUUUUCUCUUUUUAGGACCGCACCUGCAGCAUGUAGAAAUUCCCAAGCUAUGGGUCGAAUUGGAGCUUCAGCUGCUGUCCUGCACCAUAGGAACACUAGAUCUGAGCCGCCUCUGUGACCUAAGGCGCAGCACCAGAUCCUUAACCCACUGAGUGAGGCCAGGUAUGGAACCUGCAUCCUCAGGGACACUGUGUCAGGUUCUUAACCCUCUGAGCCACAAUGGGAACUCCCAGAAUCAGGCAUCCUUGCCUAAUUUGAGGUCCUGGAUGUGAAAUGUGCCUCAGGAUAGGGAGUGGAGGCACUGCCUUCCUUGGGAGUCACGUAAGUUUUUGCUUAUUUUUGCCUGCCCUGUUGGGGACCUUUCAGGGUGACAGAAAGCCAAGGUUUUGAGGCCAAACAGCCUGUCCACAACCUGCUUCUGCCUCAAUGAGCUGCAGUUUAGACUCUUGGGGAAAUUGUCGUGCAGGAGGUAAAACUGCUCCAUGAAAGCAGGCAGUGUGUCAAGUACCCUGGUGACAUCCCGGGUCCCACCCAGCCACUCGCAGACAGACACGCAGUUGGAGAUUCAGUUGGGGGAGGGGGCGGCCCCCAGUGGAUGGCCAAGAGGUGAUACACGGGUGAAGUGGAGUAAGGGCUCCAUGUGACUCAGUUCUUUCCAAGCAACCCCCCCCUUUUUUUUUUUUAACAGUUUAAUGACUCUUUUUAAAAAUUUGUUUACCUUUCCCAUUAACAUUUUUUGCCCCGUCUAGGCCUCAGCCAGGGAGAACUCUAACCUACCUUUUCCUUCUAAACUGCAACAUUUAAGAAAAUUAGCUAGUGGCUCACCCCUUCCAGGCAAAUUGAUAGGAUUAAAUGACUUAAUGUUUUCUUCCUCUGAUGCAAGGGCUUACUUACCUUUCCAACCGACAUAUUUUAAUAAUUACGGUUUCAUGUUUCUGGGGAUCCACAUUCAUGUGAUUUAUCUCCCUCUGAGAAUGUAAGCCUCUUAGGAAUGGGGGCCAUGAGUCUUUCCUGACACACAGCUGACUUUUAUAAUAACAACUGAGUUUCUGGUUCCUGUGUGGUUUAUGCUUCCUUGUGUAAUUUGCUGUCAUUCUUGGGUCUCGCUGGUUUUUCCUUAAUCCCUGGUCUUGGUUGUUUGCUUUUAUAUUCCUAAGUGCUCAACCUCACAGAGCCUUAAUGUUAUGUAAAUAUUUAUUAAACGAGUGUCACAGAAUCUUACCGGGGGCUGUAUUCACAUAUCCCACUAGCAUGGGCUCUCUUUUUCUUGUGUUCAAGAUGCAGAACUCUGGAGGAAUCAAGAGCAAAUCCCUCUCUUUAGGUGUUAACAAUUUCUAAAGUUCAGGGUUUUUUGUUGUUUCUUUUUUGGCUGCCCUGAGGUAUAUGAAGUACCAGGGCCAGGGGUCAGACCCAAGCCACAGUUGUGGCAACACUAGAUUCUUGACUCACUGUGCUGGGCCAGGGAUUGAACUUGCGUCCCAGGAUUCUAGAGAUGCUGCCAAUCCCGUUAUGCCACAGUGGGAACUCCAAGGUUCAGCUUUUAUAAGCUUGGAAAGGGAACUUUUCCCUUCCUCCUGACUCUGGGGCAUUGCCGGCCCCCUUGGUCUAGGACUCUGUCCCAUGGUCAUUUAAGGUUGUGCCUGUCCCUGGAGGUCAGGAGUCAUGCUGUACAAACACAUCACCUGGGACCUGGCCUGGAGAGGGCACUUCAUACUUAUUUGUGGAAUGAAUCGAAACUGCUGUGAGCCAGGGUGGAGGAGCUGUUCAGCACAUGUGUGAGAAAAGAGAGAGGAGAAACAGAAUUUUGUGGGCAAAGCAAGAGAGACAGCGAGACAGUGGAAUUCAGUAGGUCAGCUGAGACCUCUUGGGUGGUCGAGGGAUGCAUUUCCAUUGGUCUGUUUCAUCAACUCUAAGCACAUUAUUUUUGAAGAUCACAUUAGAGUAAAUACUUGUUAAAACUGUAACAUUGAUGUCUGGUUAACUGUCCUUUAUUGAAGUGAAAUGAAAACUGUGUCCAGGCCCUCAGCUCAGGCAGAGCAGGUAACCUGGCCAUGCGGCUCUCAGGGUCCUUCCUUCUUGCUCCAAAUAUGCACACAACUUGCAUAUUCCUCUCUCAGCCAUUUGCCCAACUUACCUAUGGCCAACCAGACAUUUCUUUAAAAGUGAUUGNUUUUUUUUUUUAGGGCCACACCUGUGACAUAUGGAAGUUCCCAGGCUAAUCAGAGCUGUAGCUGCCGGCCUACACCACAGCCACAGCUACGCCAGAUCCGAGCCAUGUCUGUGACCUAAACCACCGCUCUCGGCAAUGCCAGAUCCUCAACCCACAGAGAGGUCAGGAAUCGAACCUUCAACCUCACGGUUCCUAGUUGGAUUCAUUUCCGCUGCAUAACGACGGGAACUCCGAUUGUUUUAUUUUUUAAAUUGAAGUAUAGUUGAUUUACAGUGUUGUGUUAGUUUUAGUUGUAUAGCAAAGUGAUUCAGUUAUACAUACAGACAUAAAUAUUUUGUAUACUUUUUCAUAUUCUUUUUCCUCAUAGGUUAUCAUAAGAUAUUGAAUAUAGUUCCCAGUGCUAUACAGUAGGUCCUUGUUGGUUAUCUGUUUUAUAUAUAGUAGUGUGUAUCUGUUAAUCCCAAACUCCUAAUUUAUCCCUCCCCUCCCCCUUUCCCUCUUGGUACCCAUAAGUUUGUUUUCUACGUCUGUUUUAUAAAUAAAUUCAUUUGCAUCUUUUUUAGAUUCCACAUAUAAGUUAUAUGAUAUUUGUCUUUGUCUGGCUUACUUCACCUAGUAUGAUGAUCUCUAGGUCCAUUCAAGUUGCUCCAAAUGACAUUAUUUCAUUCUUUUUUAUGGCCAAGUAAUAGUCCAUUGUAUACACAUACCAUUUCUUCUUUAUCCAUUCCUCUGUUGGACAUUUAGGUUGCUUCCAUGUGUUGGCUAUUGUAAAUAGUGCUGCAGUGAACAUUGGGGUGCAUGUAUCUUUUUGAAUUAUGGUGUUCUCCAGAUAGAUGCGAAGGAGUGGGGUUGCUGGGUCAUAUGCUAGUUCUAUUUUUAGUCUUGAGGAACCUCCAUACUAUUCUCCAUAGUGGCUGCACUGAUUUACAUUCCCACCCACAGUGUAGGAGGGCACCCCAAAGGUACAUUUUCACACAGAAAAUGUAAUGAAGCCCCUAAACGCUAGAACUCAUCUUUGAUAUCAGAAGCAGGUAAGAGGGUGUGUGCGCUUCCUGGUGAGAACAAACUUGCAGGUCUUAGUGCCUUCCUGGGUAUGAGAUCUCACUCCUCAAAAGCUCAUGUACCUGCAGCCAUCGUCUGUGAGCUCCGUUGACCAAGGAAAAGUAUCCUUUGGGUUUUAUACCUGUAUUGUGCCUGUGCUGAAUCCUCUGAUGUACAGUCUGUGGAAUAGCAAAGUCAGAUUUGCUCUGAAAAAAAUUCUGGACUUUGCAAAAUGUAUAGGAACAGAAUCAAUAUCAGGAUGGCAUGUCAGUUCCCUCACAGAUGUUAUGUAUUGUCUUUAUUGUUUUUGGAAAAUCAGUGACACUUGCCCAUAUUACACUUAUCCCAAAUUCUUUUCCAUGACACUUCUUGAACCUAUAUUGUGAUUAUUUAUAAAAUCAGAAACCAUGAUUAUGAAUAAAAUUGUAAAAAAAAAAAGCUUCAAAGCUAAUCUAAUACAUUUUGAAACUUUGCUCCAAAGUUUUUUUUUUUUUAAUCAAAUUCACUCUAGAUUGGAAGAUUGACUGUGAUAGCAGUGUUAACAACUUGCUCUUUUUGGUCUUAUUAGGUCAUUUACCUCCUUUGAACAACACGUUUCUUUCUUUCUUUUCUUUCUUCUUUUUUUUUUUUGUCUUUUUGCCAUUUUUUGAGUCGCUCCCACGGCAUAUGGAGGUUCCCAGGCUAGGGGUCGAAUCGGAGCCGUAGCCACCAGCCUAUUCCAGAGCCACAGCAACGUGGGAUCCUAGCCUUGUCUGCAACCUACACCACAGCUCAUGGCAACGCUGGAUCCUUAACCUAUUGAGCAAGGCCAGGAAUUGAACCUGCAGCCUCAUGGCUCCUAGUCGGAUUUGUUAACCACCGUGCCACGAUGGGAACUCCAACAACACAUUUCUUGCAUUUUCUCAUCCAUGGCUGUAAAAUGAAAGGACGUGUGGACCAUUAAGAAAGGAGGAGAAACUCAUGAGAAAAAUUUAAUAGGGUCAGUGAUGAUUUCAGUUGAUCUUAUAGUCUGAAAUGAUGGUACCAGAAUCUGAACAUCUUCUAUUUGAGAAUUAGGAUCCUUUCACCAUGGUUUUGCGUGCUGCCUUUGUUGAUCCUCACCAGAUCUGCUGAGAAAGGAGGGGAGAGAGUUCCUAUUGUGGCGCAGUAGUAAUGAACCUGACUAGUAUCCAUGAGGAUGUGGGUUCGAUUCCUGGCCUUGCUCAGUGGGCUAAGACUACGGCAUCAACCCAAGCUGUGGUGUAGGGUACAGACCUGGCUUGGAUCCUGUGUUGCUAUGGUGGUGGCUUAGGUCGGCAGCUGCAGCUCGGAUUCAACCCCUAGCUUAGGAACUUCCAUGUGCCAAG
rnacentral:lncRNA from 1 species